GGAAGCGGACAUUAAAUGAAGUGAUUUCACACAAUAAAUUUAACAUUUAACAACGUGCUGAAAUGAUUUUGGAGCAGUGAUAUGUUUGACAAAUGUAAGCUAAUGGUCACAUAGAAUACAAGACCGCAGAAUCACAUUAUGAUUAAAGCAGAAACGGCUCGACUUGAACCAGCAGACGGAAGAUAUGGACGAACAACAAGAAGAAGUUAUGGAGGUCCCAACAACUGAACCUAUGGAAGUAGAAGAAUCGUUUACAGCCGAAACCCGAUACGAUGUGCCAGUUCCGGUCAUAGAGUCCUCCAUCUCAGACGAUGCCGACGUUAGUGUCUUCUGCGACGAAGACCCCGUAGUGGUGUAUACGCAGGUAGAAGCUGGUUCCUCCCGUGGCAAGUCCAAGUUGUUUAACAACCAAGGGUUUAGUUAUACA